GAUGAACGCUGGCGGCGGGCCUAAUACAUGCAAGUCGAGCGACCAGACAGUGAGCUUGUGCUCUUACGGUUGGCGAGUGGCGGGUGGGUAACGCGUGCAUAACCAACUACUAUUACGGGGGUGAUUACGGAAAACCGGUUACACUACCGGCGCAUAUGAUGAACGGGAGGGAGCAAUGGAGAAAGGGGGUUUGCGCGACACUAAGAGACGAUGUCGCAUUAGCUAGUUGGCGAGGUAACGGAACACCAAGGCGACGAUCCGUAGCUGGUCUGAGAGGAUGAUCAGCCACACUGGAACUGAGACACGGUCCAGACUCCUACGGGAGGCAGCAGUGGGGAAUAUUCCACAAUGGGCGCAAGCCUGAUGCAGCCAUGCCGCGUGAGUGAUGAAGGUCUUCGGAUUGUAAAGCUCUUUUAUUAGGAAAGAACAACUGCGGAUGAAUCCCCGCCUGUUUUGACGGUACCCAAUGAGUAAGCACCGGCUAACUACGUG
rnacentral:rRNA from 1 species